rnacentral:tRNA from 1 species
GCCUGGGUGGCUCAGUUGGUUGAGCGUCCGACUUUGGCUCAGGUCACGAUCUCGCGGUCCGUGAGUUCGAGCCCCGCGUCAGGCU